rnacentral:rRNA from 1 species
AUUGAACGCUGGCGGCAGGCCUAACACAUGCAAGUCGAACGGUAACAGGAAGCAGCUUGCUGCUUUGCUGACGAGUGGCGGACGGGUGAGUAAUGUCUGGGAAACUGCCCGAUAGAGGGGGAUAACUACUGGAAACGGUAGCUAAUACCGCAUAACGUCGCAAGACCAAAGAGGGGGACCUUAGGGCCUCUUGCCAUCGGAUGUGCCCAGAUGGGAUUAGCUAGUAGGUGGGGUAACGGCUCACCUAGGCGACGAUCCCUAGCUGGUCUGAGAGGAUGACCAGCCACACUGGAACUGAGACACGGUCCAGACUCCUACGGGAGGCAGCAGUGGGGAAUAUUGGACAAUGGGCGCAAGCCUGAUGCAGCCAUGCCGCGUGUAUGAAGAAGGCCUUCGGGUUGUAAAGUACUUUCAGCGGGGAGGAAGGGAGUAAAGUUAAUACCUUUGCUCAUUGACGUUACCCGCAGAAGAAGCACCGGCUAACUCCGUG